rfam:Ixodes scapularis strain Wikel colony gcontig_1108379174156, whole genome shotgun sequence.
GAAAUCAUGGCCGAGUGGUUAAGGCGAUGGACUAGAAAUAUAUUGGGGUCUCCCCGCACAGGUUCGAAUCCUGUCAACUGCG